rnacentral:tRNA from 2 species
GGGCCUGUAGCUCAACGGUAGAGCGAUUCCCUCUUAAGGAAGCGGUUGGAGGUUCGAUUCCUCCCAGGCUCACUA